GAAACGACCAAGGAAACCCCCCAUCCCACUUUCCCUGGCUCUCAGUUCAUUUCCCUUAUCCAAAUCGAACUGUUUUUUUUAUCAUUUCUUCAAUAAUGAGCUGGUUUGUUCUUAUGAUAGGGGUUUGAGCGAAUCUUCCUUGUUUUCUUCAUGUUCUGCUCUUGAGACCACUUUUUUCUUUAACUUGGUUCUGUAAUGGAAUAUGUCAGAGCUCUUGAAAUCAUUUGUCUCUCAGAUCAGAUAGUUGAUGGCAUCGGAAUCAACAAGGAUAUUGAAAAUUUGGGAGUUGAAGAGUCGAUUUCUUCUAUUUUUUACAUUGAAAAUGGCAUAUUCUUUACCUUGUCUUAUCAUCUGUUAUAUACAUGUGGGAUUGAAACCCAUUUGAGUUUUCUUUAUUUUCUUUAUUGUUUUUCCCUUUCCUUAUCUCACAAAUCCAAAUUAACUGAAAUUUUAUCUUUAUAACAUCGUCAAUAUUAUAUCGAUGGUGUUUUUAAAGUAUACCAAAUCAAUAUUGCAGCAACAUCGUAGAAUCAUGUACCAUUCACUCAAUAGAAAAUUAUGAAAAUUCUUGUAUGUAAUAUUAUGUAGUAUUAAGGGUUCUCUCGAUUAUUGGCUUCGGGCUAAACAAGGGAAGUUGAAUGUGAAUCCAACUUAUUGGUUUAUAAUAAUUGAGGAAGGAGAUUCUCAUCAUCCCCAAAUUUAAUUAAAUUUUGACGUGGAAUCCAGAAAAGCACUCUCAGGGGUUGCCAUUGGUUGUGUGGGGAGGAAGAGAUCCUGAGUAAGAUAAUAUAGUGCUUGUGAAGCUUGCAUUAUCCAUUAAGCCACACAUGGCACGAAUGAGGAAAUUUCCAAAAGAAAAUUCCCAAAAUAAGAUCCUUGUUAGACUAACAGGAAGGAGAGGCUUCUCUUUCUUUCUUUUGUCUAUUCUAUUCUUCUUUUUCCAACCAGUGAUGAUGGCACAUGGAUGACAUAGCAGUAGCCUUUGCCUUCUUAUAAAUAAUGUGUUGAGGAGUCAAUUUUGAUAUGUCUCUUCCUUAGCAGUAGCUCAAUUAGGAGGUCUUUAUAAGCAUAGUUCUCUUGCUUUCAUUCUCACUCUGCUGAUUUCUUUCAAUAGGGUGUGGGAGAAUCUCAGGGUAAUUUUGUUUGGUUAGAAGGAAAGGUUGAGAGAAAAAUGGAGGGAAAGCCUAAUGGAUAUCAAACCUCCUCUUUUGUUGCCGAUCUUUUCGAUGUCGAGGAGUCGCCAUUGUCAUCAGCAUCAGGAGUUCUUGCAGCAAUGUUUCCUUCUCCACAGAAGGUGGGAAGCAGGACUUCUAGCUCUGAGGAUUGGCUAAAACAGACCAACGGGAAUCAACCACGCCACACCAAGCAAGGAAAUUCAGGAGGGAGCUUGGAGCCUUGUCAUCUGAGUUCAUCUCUAUACUAUGGAGGACAAGAUGGAUAUUCCGAGGCCCCAUCAGCUGGACCAUCCCCACCCCCACCGUCCCCUUUGAAGAAAAGUGGGGGAGAGGAUGAUCCAAAUGGAAACAACUCUCAACCUGCUUCUAGGGGAAACUGGUGGCAAGGUUCCCUUUAUUAUUAGGACCUCUGCCUUGCCUUGGCGGCACAUGAAUCCCCACCUAUUUUCUAAGGAAUUCAUGAAGCAGCAUAGCAGAUGGAUUUGCAUUACACUGUUACUUUUAGUUUGAAAAUGGUCGGAUUUUUGCGAUUGUGUGGCACUCACUCCCAACACUAAGUGAAUCGAGCUAAUGACCAGGUAACAAAUGUUCAAGCCUCUAACUCUGUUUUGAGAAGAAGAUUUAGAAAACGGGGUGGAGAGAUUUUUGAAAGCAAGAUUGAAAAUAACAUUAUAUGACAAACAGAAUUUCCUAUAGUAUAUUUUGAGGUGAUUUAGAUUUGGUAUGCCUAAACGUGAUUUUGCCGAAUGGUCAUACAAAAUCUAGGUACGAGAAGUUUAUAAUUGGUCGCGUGGAUGAUUGGUCACAUCCCCUAUAAUAUAUUUUGGGACAUUUCAGGUCUAUCAGGUGUAGACGUGAUUAUGUCGAAACGACAUAUACUUCGAAAAUAUAAUAAUGAAACUAUAUAUCAUGAAAGCAGUAAAUAAAGUGAUACAAGACAAGGGUUUUGACAUGCAAUAAGCAUGCGGUCAUAGACAACACGUCUUGAACAAACAUGACCGUGAUGCACUGCCUUUAA